AUGUUUGAUGUUCUAACGUGGACCCGUAAUCCGGGUUGCGGACAGUGUCUGGUGGGUAGUUUGACUGGGGCGGUCUCCUCCUAAAGAGUAACGGAGGAGCACGAAGGUUGGCUAAUCCUGGUCGGACAUCAGGAGGUUAGUGCAAUGGCAUAAGCCAGCUUGACUGCGAGCGUGACGGCGCGAGCAGGUGCGAAAGCAGGUCAUAGUGAUCCGGUGGUUCUGAAUGGAAGGGCCAUCGCUCAACGGAUAAAAGGUACUCCGGGGAUAACAGGCUGAUACCGCCCAAGAGUUCAUAUCGACGGCGGUGUUUGGCACCUCGAUGUCGGCUCAUCACAUCCUGGGGCUGAAGUAGGUCCCAAGGGUAUGGCUGUUCGCCAUUUAAAGUGGUACGCGAGCUGGGUUUAGAACGUCGUGAGACAGUUCGGUCCCUAUCUGCCGUGGGCGCUGGAGAAUUGAGGGGGGCUGCUCCUAGUACGAGAGGACCGGAGUGGACGCAUCACUGGUGUUCGGGUUGUCAUGCCAAUGGCAUUGCCCGGUAGCUAAAUGCGGGAGAGAUAAGUGCUGAAAGCAUCUAAGCACGAAACUUG
rnacentral:rRNA from 1 species